UACGUAGGGGGCUAGCGUUGUCCGGAUUUAUUGGGCGUAAAGAGCGUGUAGGCGGCCAGGUAGGUCUGGUGUGAAAACUCGAGGCUUAACCUCGAGAUGUCAUCGGAAACCAUCUGGCUAGAGUCCGGAAGAGGAGAGUGGAAUUCCUGGUGUAGCGGUGAAAUGCGCAGAUAUCAGGAGGAACACCGGUGGCGAAGGCGACUCUCUGGACCACAACUGACGCUGAGGCGCGAAAGCUAGGGGAGCAAACAGG
rnacentral:rRNA from 1 species